UCUUGGGUCUAGGACUAGUGGUUAGGCCACAGCGCUCUCACCACUGCGGCCCGGCUUCGAAUCCUGGCCAGUGAA